CCUACGGGAGGCAGCAGUGGGGAAUAUUGGGCAAUGGAGGCAACUCUUACCCAGCAAUGCCGCGUGAAUGAAGAAGGUCUUCGGAUUGUAAAGCUCUUUAAUUGGGGACGAAAAAAAUGACGGUACCCAAGGAAUAAGCCUCGGCUAACUACGGGCCAGCACCCGCGGGAAUUCGUCGGGGGCAAGCGUUGUUCCGAAUGACUGGGGGUAAAGGGUGUGUAGGCGGUGUAGCAAGUUAGGAGGGAAAUAGCUAGGGCUUAACUCAGGUACUGCUUCUAAAACUGGUAUACUUGAGUGCAGUAGAGGAAAGUGGAAUUCCUAGUGUAGCGGUGGAAUGCGUAGAUAUUAGGAGGAACACCAGUGGCGAAGGCGGCUUACUGGACUGUAACUGACGCUGAGGCACGAAAGUGUGGGGAGCAAACGGGAUUAGAUACCCCUGUAGUC
rnacentral:rRNA from 1 species